AUUGAACGCUGGCGGCAUGCUUUACACAUGCAAGUCGAACGGCAGCGCGGGCUUCGGCCUGGCGGCGAGUGGCGAAUGGGUGAGUAAUGCAUCGGAAAGUGCCCAGUAGUGGGGGAUAGCCCGGCGAAAGCCGGAUUAUUACCGCCUACGACAUGAGGGAGCAAGCGGGGGACCGAAAGGUCUCGCGCUAUUGUAGCGGUCGAUGUCGGAAUAGCUAGUUGGUGGGGUAAAGGCUUACCAAGGCGACGAUCCGUAGCUGGUCUGAGAGGACGACAAGCCACACUGGGACUGAGACACGGCCCAGACUCCUACGGGAGGCAGCAGUGGGGAAUUUUGGACAAUGGGGGCAACCCUGAUCCAGCCAUGCCGCGUGCGGGAAGAAGGCCUUCGGGUUGUAAACCGCUUUUGUUCGGGAAGAAAUCCUCUAGGCUAAUACCCCGGGGGGAUGACGGUACCGAAAGAAUAAGCACCGGCUAACUACGUG
rnacentral:rRNA from 1 species